UUUCAGUCUGAAUUUUGUGAAGCCAUUGAAGAGAAUGAUGGUUUCCCAAAGCACAUCUCACUAGAAAAGAAGAUGGGAAAACAGUGUCGAUUUCCAUCUGAUUGUUCAGCUACAUACACCCCAAAGGCUCUUUUAAGAGCCACACCACG